GAUGAACGCUGGCGGCGUGCCUAAUACAUGCAAGUCGAGCGAACGGGCGAGAAGCUUGCUUCUCUGAUGUUAGCGGCGGACGGGUGAGUAACACGUGGAUAACCUACCUAUAAGACUGGGAUAACUUCGGGAAACCGUAGCUAAUACCGGAUAAUAUUUUGAACCGCAUGGUUCAAAAGUGAAAGACGGUCUUGCUGUCACUUAUAGAUGGAUCCGCGCUGCAUUAGCUAGUUGGUAAGGUAACGGCUUGCCAAGGCAACGAUGCAUAGCCGACCUGAGAGGGUGAUCGGCCACACUGGAACUGAGACACGGUCCAGACUCCUACGGGAGGCAGCAGUAGGGAAUCUUCCGCAAUGGGCGAAAGCCUGACGGAGCAACGCCGCGUGAGUGAUGAAGGUCUUCGGAUCGUAAAACUCUGUUAUUAGGGAAGAACAUAUGUGUAAGUAACUGUGCACAUCUUGACGGUACCUAAUCAGAAAGCCACGGCUAACUACGUG
rnacentral:rRNA from 1 species